rnacentral:rRNA from 1 species
CGAAUGCUAUUUGGGAACUGGAUAGCGGAAGUGGCGAAAGGGGCAGUAAUACAUGGACAACCUACCCUGGGGUUGGGCAUAGCCGUUCUAACGAGCGGGUAAUUCCCAGAGAGUCGGCGAGGGGGCAUCUCUUUGCCGGGAAAGAAUUUCGCCUCGGGAGGGGUUCAUGAGCUAUCAGCUAGUUGGUGAGGUAACGGCUCACCAAGGCGUAGACGGCUAGCGGGUGUGAGAGCACGACCCGCGCCACUGGCACUGAGACACUGGCCAGACACCUACGGGUGGCUGCAGUCGAGGAUCUUCGUCAAUGGGCGCAAGCCUGAACGAGCGAUGCCGCGUGAGCGAUGAAGGCCUUCGGGUUGUAAAGCUCAAAAGAAGCGAGAAAGGGAAACUUGAUCAAGCUUCAGUAAGCUCGGGCUAAGUUCGUGCCAGCAGCCGCGGUAAGACGAACCGAGCGAACGUUGUUCGGAAUCACUGGGCUUAAAGGGCGCGUAGGCGGGUGCUCAAGUCCGGGGUGAAAUCCCACAGCUCAACUGUGGAACUGCCUCGGAUACUGGGUGUCUCGAGGGUGGUAGGGGUAUGCGGAACUAUCGGUGGAGCGGUGAAAUGCGUUGAUAUCGAUAGGAACUCCGGUGGCGAAGGCGGCAUACUGGACUACUUCUGACGCUGAGGCGCGAAAGCCAGGGGAGCAAACGGGAUUAGAUACCCCGGUAGUCCUGGCCCUAAACGAUGGGUACUAGCUAGUACGCUUCACAUGGGUUUACUGGCGAAGCAAAAGUGCUAA